rnacentral:rRNA from 1 species
UGGGAACGUGCCUUUUGGUUCGGAACAACCCAGGGAAACUUGGGCUAAUACCGGAUAAGCCCUUACGGGGAAAGAUUUAUCGCCAAAGGAUCGGCCCGCGUCUGAUUAGCUAGUUGGUAGGGUAAUGGCCUACCAAGGCUACGAUCAGUAGCUGGUCUGAGAGGAUGAUCAGCCACAUUGGGACUGAGACACGGCCCAAACUCCGUACGGGAGCAGCAG